rnacentral:siRNA from 1 species
ACCAAACCCAAGAUUCCUUUCC